AGUUAAUGUUGCCAUCAACAAACAUUUAAAUGCUCAAUUUACUUCACUGAAUACAGACACAACAAAUAUGAAAAUCUAAAUUCAUACACAUGCUACUUAAUAUGAAAGUGCUUUCUCUUUUUUAAAAAAAUACACCAAAUGGACACUUUUUACAUAGAUCAAAUGUGCUCUUACAAUGCAAAAUUAACCUUCAUUUUCAGGUUAUACAUUUUAAAACUGUAGCUAUCAACACCAAUCUAGGAACUCUAAUGCUAAGAGUGCUAAAAACUAUUUCAUUUCUUGUAAGGAGGACUCUAAUACAAUAUCCAAUGUAAAGAAUACAUCUAUAUAUAAUCUUAACAUGUUUCCUGUAAAGAUAAAAAAUGUUUUCUUUCCCCUUGGUGAUCUUUGUUCAUCCUGGGUGGAUCAUCUUUUGAGGUUUUAAUAAUAUGAAAGUCCUAUUUUAGAACAAUGGGAGGAACCAAAAGGGGAAUUAAAAAAUUGGUUAACGUGUGCUUGAAGCAUCCAAAAAACACCAGUUUAUCACAACAACUGGUCUUUGCUAAAAUUAACAAAAUUUUAAUAAGCAAGAAGACAAAAAGCACUAAUUUAAAAGGCUUGAAAUACCUGCCACCAUUGUCAGUAUCCAUCCAUCCAACCUUCAUUUACUACAAGCACAAUACUACUUUGAGGAUAGUUUUUGGAACUUAUUUUGACUUUUUCCCCUAUAGGAAAAACAAAGACCAAGCUUUUGAAGGAGAGGACUGGGAAUCUGGUUUAAAUGUCUACAUCCAAAAUUGUAUCAUCUUUGCACAUUCAGUUGACUUUUUAAAAUUUAAGAAUACAUAUACAAAAAGUACUUAUGGAAUACAUAUUUUAACAGCGUAACAUACUUGAAAAAUUAGUUACACUUUAAAAAUUAAAACACUUGAAAAGUAUUUUUUAAACCAGUACCAUGGAAUAACUUUUUGAAACCCAGAUUAUCUGGCUACUUAGAUGAUAGUCUUCCUGUUUUCAAUUAGUUUGAAAGAUUCUAAUAUAGAUUCUAACCCAACAGUUUAUUUGGAUAUUUUCCUGCUUUAAAAAGCUGCAACAGGCUAGGCACAGCGGCUCAUGCCUAUAAUCCCGGCACUUUGGGAGGCUGAGGUGGGCGGAUCACUUGAGGUCAGGAGUUCGAGUCCAGCCUGGCCAACAUGGUGAAACCCCGUCUCUACUAAAAAUACAAAAAACUGGCCAGGCGUAGUGGUGCAUGCCUGUAAUCCCAGCUACUUGGGAGGACAAGGUGGGAGAAUCGCUUGAACCUGGGAGGCGGAGGUUGCACUGAGCGGAGAUUACACCACUGCACUCAAGCCUGGGUGACAGAGUGAGACUCUGUCUCAAAACAAACAAAACAAAAAAGCUGAAACAAUGAUAAACUAUUUUUAAUAGAUAUAUUCAUUCUAUAUCUUUAUGGAGAAUGUUAGUAUCAACUGAUGUUAACACGUAAAGCUGUGUCAACAGGAAUUACAAUGUGAUUCACAACAUCCCAGAGUGACAAGGAAGGGACCUUAACCCAAUAAAUGAGUCUCCCAUUCAAUGUUUACCCCCUAGAUACUUACCAAUUCAAGCAUGGAACUGUUUCAUGUUUACCCGUUCUGCAUUUAAAGGAUGCCCUUUUACUAUAUAUGUGCUUUCUAGAAUAUUACUGAUUCUUACAUAUCUUUAAAAGGUGGAUAUUUGUAAUAGCUUAAAAUACAGUAACAUUUAUUUUGUGUGAUCUUUCUUAAUUUAAAAACAAAAAAUAAAUGAACAAGUCAGUUCCAAUG
rnacentral:antisense_RNA from 1 species